GUUUCCGUGGUGUAGUUGGUUAUCACGUCAGUCUAACACACUGAAGGUCUCCAGUUCGAACCUGGACGGAAACA
rfam:Marchantia polymorpha subsp. polymorpha scaffold4031, whole genome shotgun sequence.